GCCUUUGUAGCUCAGGGGUAGAGUACAUCCUUGGUAAGGAUGAGGUCAUGGGUUCAAAUCCCAUCAAAGGCU
rnacentral:tRNA from 1 species